UCAAAUAAUUAUUUUCAAAUCAUCUAAACAUCUUCAAGCUCUCUCCAUUUUCUCUCUCAUCUAAAGCUUUGAAACUUCAAAAUCAACAACAAUGUCCGUUAUUACAGACGAAAUUGUUCAAUCCUUGGAAAAAUCACCAAAAGAUCUUCGAAAAUCAAAAUUGUAUGAAUUUUGAUUCAUUUUUUGGAAUGGAAAAAGAAGGCUGAUGAUGCAAUACAUUGCUCAACUAAUGCAAACUGAAGAAAAUGAUGAGUCUACAAAUAAUAGAAGAGCGGCAAGAAUGAAGGCAUAUUAUAAUAUGUUCAAUUAUGGAUAUAUAUGUUUAUAGUUGAAUUGGUUGAUAAACUAAAACUUAUAGAUAUUACUUGUUAACAAAAUUACUCUACGUUGUUUAAGUUUAAAUUAUUUACGUUAAAGUUUGAUAAAUACUAUUUAUUUACAGAAUUAUUCUUACAAUUUUAUAUGAAAA